rnacentral:rRNA from 1 species
GAUCUCCAGCUUGCNNGGGGGAUUAGUGGCGAACGGGUGAGUAACACGUGAGUAACCUGCCCUUGACUCUGGGAUAAGCCUGGGAAACUGGGUCUAAUACCGGAUAUGACUCCUCAUCGCAUGGUGGGGGGUGGAAAGCUUUUGUGGUUUUGGAUGGACUCGCGGCCUAUCAGCUUGUUGGUGAGGUAAUGGCUCACCAAGGCGACGACGGGUAGCCGGCCUGAGAGGGUGACCGGCCACACUGGGACUGAGACACGGCCCAGACUCCUACGGGAGGCAGCAGUGGGGAAUAUUGCACAAUGGGCGCAAGCCUGAUGCAGCGACGCCGCGUGAGGGAUGACGGCCUUCGGGUUGUAAACCUCUUUCAGUAGGGAAGAAGCGUAAGUGACGGUACCUGCAGAAGAAGCGCCGGCUAACUACGUGCCAGCAGCCGCGGUAAUACGUAGGGCGCAAGCGUUAUCCGGAAUUAUUGGGCGUAAAGAGCUCGUAGGCGGUUUGUCGCGUCUGCCGUGAAAGUCCGGGGCUCAACUCCGGAUCUGCGGUGGGUACGGGCAGGCUAGAGUGAUGUAGGGGAGACUGGAAUUCCUGGUGUANNGGUGAAAUGCGUAGAA